rnacentral:rRNA from 1 species
AACGAACGCUGGCGGCAGGCUUAACACAUGCAAGUCGAACGCCCCGCAAGGGGAGUGGCAGACGGGUGAGUAACGCGUGGGAACGUGCCCUUCGCUUCGGAAUAUUCCCGGGAAACUGGGAGCAAUGCCGGAUCCGCCGAAUUGGGAAAGAUUUAUCGGCGAAGGAUCGGCCCGCGUUAGAUUAGGUAGUUGGUGGGGUAAUGGCCUACCAAGCCUACGAUCUAUAGCUGGUCUGAGAGGAUGAUCAGCCACACUGGGACUGAGACACGGCCCAGGCUCCUACGGGAGGCAGCAGUGGGGAAUUUUGGACAAUGGGCGCAAGCCUGAUCCAGCCAUGCCGCGUGAGUGAAGAAGGCCUUAGGGUUGUAAAACUCUUUCGCCGGUGAAGAUAAUGACGGUAGCCGGAGAAGAAGCCCCGGCUAACUUCGUGCCAGCCGCCGCAGUAAAAC